CCAAAGGCUCUUUUCAGAGCCACCCAUACUGUCACUUUAAGUGCUU
rfam:Mus musculus chromosome 13, GRC primary reference assembly.